AGAUUGAACGCUGGCGGCAGGCCUAACACAUGCAAGUCGAGCGGUAGAGAGGUGCUUGCAUCUCUUGAGAGCGGCGGACGGGUGAGUAAUGCCUAGGAAUCUGCCUAGUGGUGGGGGAUAACGUUCGGAAACGGACGCUAAUACCGCAUACGUCCUACGGGAGAAAGCGGGGGACCUUCGGGCCUCGCGCCAUUAGAUGAGCCUAGGUCGGAUUAGCUAGUUGGUGAGGUAAUGGCUCACCAAGGCGACGAUCCGUAACUGGUCUGAGAGGAUGAUCAGUCACACCGGAACUGAGACACGGUCCGGACUCCCGUACGGGA
rnacentral:rRNA from 1 species